rnacentral:sRNA from 18 species
UUGUAAGAUAAGAUACUUAUGACUUUUUACUUAAAAUCAGUCGUAAACCGAUUAUAGCAUCGUGUUUAUUUAAGCGCAAUAAAAAGAACCUGAGCCAUUUGCCCAGGUUCUUUUUUGU